CAGUGAAGGAGGCUUGAAGGGGUUAAAGUGGAAGGCUUGUACAAACUUUGCUCUCACAUCUCCUCCCUCCCCCGGGGGCUCUGCACAGCUCGGCAGAGCUGAGCACAGUGGAAUCGUCACCUUUCCUUGUAUUCGCUCAACUGUUGCCUGCAAAGGAGGAACCAGGCACUUAACCAAGCCGGGCUGCUUCUAUUCAAAUGUUCCAAGAGGACAUCUACAGGUCCAGAGACUUCUCAAUGCUCUUUGCAGCUUAGAAGAAACGGACAUCAGAAACUGCACUCUGAAGCUAUAUUCCAGAGAUGCUCCUAAACAAGUUGUCUGCUGCUGCAAGCUUCAAAGGGGACAUUUAAACGGCCAGCCCCAUUCAUUCUGUGACCCAGGGAAGGAAAAUUAAUCUGUGAAGAAUCCUAUCAGUCAAAUUCUCUGAGCCCUGGCCUCUUGUCAGCAUAUCUGAGACCUCCUUCACCUGAGAAUCAACAGGUCUCACAACACUUCCCCUGCAGUCUACAGUGAGGGAUGUCAAAAAAUCUAUAGACUAUUCAUGCCCUGUAUUCUUAUAUCCUUCAGCUGGGCAUCUGGGCAGGAACAUUACAAUCUCUAACUUUAGAGAAGAUUGAGCAAGUCAGG